AUGCGCCGUCAUCUCGACCUGCUCCCCCGCCUCCUCCUCCGCCGCCACGUCCACCGCCGCGCCAGUCCCGGGGCCUCGCCGCUCCCGCCCCCGCCGCCCAACCCGCCGCGCCCGCCGCAGAAGCCCGAGCCCGUCACCAUCCACGGGGAGACGUGGCACGACAGCUACGCCUGGAUGGGCUCGCUCUCCGACGCCGCCGCCAUGCGCCACAUGGACGUCCACAUGGAGGCCGAGGAGAAGUACGCCGAGGCCUGCCUCGCCGCCGCCGGCGCCGACCGCCUCGCCCGCAAGCUCCAGCUCGAGAUGGCCUCCCGCCUCGCCUCCGACGCCUGCACGCCGCCCGCCCGCUGGGGCCCCUGGCUCUACUACCGCCGAGCGGACGAGGGCAAGCAGUACCCCGUGCUCUGCCGCCGCUCCGCCGCCCUCCAUGGGGAGUUCGUCUCCUACAGCGACCCCUCCGCGGGGUUCGACUUCACCGCUGGGAAGCGCAUCGAACAGAAAUUGGUGGAUUACAACAAGGAAGCCGAGCGAUUCGGAGGAUACUCAUAUGAGGAGCUAUCAGAAGUUUCUCCAGAUCACCGCUUCAUUGCGUACACCAUGUAUGACAAAGAUAAGGAUUCUUUCACUUUAAUGGUCAGGGAUCUGGUGACGGGCACACUAUGUGAUAAACCUCGUGCUGAUCGGGUCUCAAAUAUUUCAUGGGCUAUGGAUGGGAAAGCGCUGGUUUAUAUUGUUACAAAUGAGGAUAGAAGACCAUAUAGGCUGUUUUGCAGCAUUAUUGGAUCAAACAAGGAUGAUAUUCUUAUAUUGGAAGAACCUGAUGAGAAUAUUUAUUUGAAUAUCAGACAUACGAAGGAUUUUCGGUUUAUAACAUUAAAUGUCUUUUCAGACACGCACUCAAAGGUAUAUUUAAUAAGGGCUUCUGACCCCUUGUCCAGAAUGACACUGGUAUGGGAAGGUGAAUCCCAAGUUCAUUGCAUUGUGGAGCAUCAUCAUGGACGCCUGUAUUUAUUCACAGAUGCUGCAAGAGAAGGUGUCUGUGUUAAUUCGCAUUACCUAAUGCAGUGUGAUGUGGAAUCUCCUGGGCCAAAGAGUUGGAAGAAUGUUUUCCUUGAGGAACCAGGUAUUAUUCUUGAAGAUGUUGACUUUUGCAAUACUCAUAUGGUGCUUAUUCUGAGACAAGGCAGAAAACUCAGACUUUGUUCAGUUAAUCUGCCUCUACCUGAAAAUAUUCAAGUACCUGCUCAUCUAUCAGAUUUUCACCCACUUGACUUGCCUCUUCCCAAUCAUGUGUGUCAGAUUUUAUCUGGCCCAAAUUAUGACUACUAUUCCUCAACAAUGCGUUUCACAAUAUCAUCACCCGUGAUGCCAGAUGCAGUUGUUGAUUACAACUUACUAAGUGGAAAGUGGCAAAUGGUGCAACAGCAAAACAUGCUUCAUGAGAGAACAAAGGUACUGUAUGGGAAUGCUUUUGCUUCUAAUGCGGGCAAGCUGUCUUCAGAUGGAGCUGAUUUGUCAAGUGAAGAUUUGGGAGAUUGUGACUGGAACGAGCUCUCUGAAUACUAUGCAUGUGAGUACUAUGAUGUUCCAUCGAAGGACGGAGUUUUGAUUCCACUCACCUUGGUAUAUUCACGAAAGCACAAGCAAGAGGGGAAUCCAGGAUUACUUCAUGGGCAUGGUGCUUAUGGUGAGAUUCUGGAUAAGCGUUGGCGUAGUGAGUUAAAGAGCCUACUCGAUCGUGGUUGGGUGAUUGCAUAUGCUGAUGUUAGGGGUGGUGGAGGUUAUGGCAAGGAGUGGCACCGGGAUGGUGCACGUACCAAAAAGAUGAAUUCUAUAUAUGAUUUUGUCUCUUGUGGUGAAUUUCUUCUUGAAAAAGGUAUCAUACAAGAAAAUAAGCUUGCUGGAUGGGGAUACAGUGCUGGAGGACUUCUGGUGGCUUCGGCAAUCAAUACUCGUCCAGAUUUGUUCCGUGCCGCUGUUUUAAAGGUCCCUUUCUUGGAUGUUUGCAACACACUGCUCCAUCCUAUUCUACCUCUUACAGCCAUUGAUUAUGAAGAGUUUGGAUUUCCUGUGGACCAUGAAGAAUUCCUUUCAAUCAAGAAGUAUUCUCCCUAUGAUAAUAUCCAGAAGGAUGUUCCUUACCCAGCUGUGUUUGUGACAUCAUCAUUUAAUACAAGGUUUGGUGUAUGGGAAGCAGCUAAAUGGGUUGCAAAAGUCCGUGAACUUACUCAAUAUGAUCCGGAGCGGCCUGUAAUUCUCAACUUGACAACAGAUGUUGUGGAAGAAAGCAAGUAUUUGGAAACCAAGGAAUUAGCAACGGAGACUGCUUUCCUAAUUAAAAUGGUGAACAAUACCUGA
rnacentral:rRNA from 1 species